AUGGCAGGCGGCCGACGAGGCGGUGCCACGGGCGCCUUUACUGUUGCCGGAAAGUUCAAUCCGGUGCCUGAGUACGCUGUUACCUUCGUCCGCGACUACGACAUCAAGGGCAUCGGUGCCAUAUUGGCUAAAGCUUCCCCUUGCUCCAUGGAGGAACGGAUCGAACUCUUCAGAAAGAAUGUGGAACAAUUCAGGAAGCCUAAUGCCAUUGGGACAUUCUCCAACAAAGGCAAUGCCAUGGACAAGGUGGGCGAGGAGAGCGACGUCGAGGAGGAGGGGGAUUACGAGGUGGAUGAAGAUUCGGGCGACGGUAUGGAUGAAGAUGAGGAGAUACCUGAGCUGAUGGUUGAUGGCAGUAAACCUGCUACUGAUGGACAGCUUCAAGUCCAUAAUGAAGGUGAACGACAGUGCAAGAAGCUAAGAUUAGCAGAAGAAGGCUUUGGGUGGCAAGGGAAAUUUUGA
rnacentral:rRNA from 1 species